rnacentral:SRP_RNA from 1 species
GCUGGGUGCAGUGGUGCACACCUGUAAGUCCAGCUACUUGAGGCUGAGGUGGGAGGAUUGCUUGAGCCUAAGAGUUCGAGGCUGUGGUGUCCUGUGAUGGUGCUGGUCCGCAGCUGCUGCACUGUAGCCUAGGCAACAUAGCAAGACCCCAUCUCUA